rnacentral:lncRNA from 1 species
CCGGGAGGGAGGUGGGGGGGUCAGCCCCCCGCCCGGCCAGCAGCCCCGUCCGGGAGGGAGGUGGGGAGGUCAGCCCCCCGCCCGGCCAGCCGCCCCGUCCGGGAGGGAGGUUGGGGGGUCACCCCCCGCCCGGCCAGCCGCCCCAUCCGGGAGGUGAGGGGCGCCUCUGCCCGGCCGCCCCUACUGGGAAGUGAGGAGCCCCUCUGCCCGGCCGCCACCCCGUCUGGGAGGUGUACCCAACAGCUCAUUGAGAACGGGCCAUGAUGACAAUGGCGGUUUUGUGGAAUAG